UUACAAAAGAUAUGUAUGCUCGGUUUUGGGAACUUUCAGAUUUAGUUUAUUGGAGAAAUGUUGUUGGUAUGUGUUUUGAAGCUUCAUUCAUGAAAUAUAGCCGGUGAAGGAUCAUUGUGGGCCGGGUCUCUUGAGUAGAAAACAGUAUUUGUGCAGCCCUUGCAUGCACAAUGAAUGUUUUAUCUGAGAUUCUCGGUCCAAAAUGUAAGAGCUUCAAUUCCAUAUUAACUACAUUUCAGUCCCAAAAUACUAGGGAAGCCAAUAUUUCAUUUUGAAAGUUAAAGGGUGUUGAUAUGUGUUUUGAAGCUUCAUUCAUGAAAUAUAGCCGGUGAAGGAUCACUGUUGGCCGGGUCUCUUGAGUAGAAAACAGUAUUUGUGCAGCCCCUGCAUUCACAAUGAAUGUUUUAUUUGAGAUUCUCGGUCCAAAAUGUAAGAGCUUCAAUUCCAUAGUAACUACCUUUUCAGUCCCAAAAUACCAGGAAAGCCAAUAUUUCAUUUUGAAAGUUAAAGGUUGUUGCUGUGUGUUUUGAAGCUUCAUUUAUGAAAUAUAGUUGGUGAAGGAUCAAAAUUGGCCGGGUCUCUUUGAGUAGAAAACAUUAUUUGUGCAGCCCUUGCAUUCACAAUGAAUGUUUUAUUUGAGAUUCUGGGUCCAAAAUGUAAGAGGUUCAAUUCCAUAUUAACUACCCUUUAGUCCUAGGAAAGGCAAUAUUUCAUUUUGAAAGUGGAAGUUUUUGUCGAUAUUUCAAAACAAACUUAUGUGCCUCGGUGCAUGAGAACGUGAAUCUUGAUUUUUUGUGGCAAAAUGAAACUGCUUGCAACCCUCAAGAUGUACAGCCUCAAAAAGAUGUGGCUUAAAAUCUCAAGCCAAAGUUUGGGUGCGUCGGUUUGAAAGUGAGAGUUUCUUUGAUCACGCACUUUCUUUUGGAGAGUUAGGCGACGUUUCACUUAGUGGUGGCAAUAUGCUCUCCCAAUCUAUUUUUAGCGCGGACAGAAAAAGUUUCGUGCUAGGUUAUGGGAAUCGUCAUUAUACGUGGAAGAGGUUGCCGUUCUUUAUUUUGAAGCCACAUCGAUAAUCUAGUUGCAGCGUUUUUCCUCUGUAGAGGUGCCCCGAUUCGAUAUUUUGAAACCGACACUGUAUUUACUGAUUCUUUUAAAAUAAGUGUGCCCCUCGGUAUUCAAGCAGAAGUUUCUCUGUUUUUUGGGGAAGAGUAAAAUUGCUCUGUUCUCUUGGUUGGUUGGAACAUAGAAAGCAAUAUGUUUGGAUCUUUUGAUUGCAAGUAAAUAUUUUUUCGGCACGUGGUUUUAAAGCUUUUUGGCUUUUGUUAAAGAAUAGUUUUUUUAAAAAAAUAUAUAUACAAAAGAAUAGUUUCCUGUUUUGGAAGUUUCCUGGUUUGGGAAGUAAAGGAGACUCAAUUUAUACUUUAAAACCUAAAAGCUGUUUUUAUGCAUUAUUUAUGGAUAAAUGUGUGACUUGAUGCACAAGAAAAUGAAUUUUGAUUUCUUGGGGCAAUGUAAAUCUGCUUGGGUCCCUCUCGCAGUUCCAAGUUUUAGAAAAACUUGCAUUGACAAAGAUUCGAGGAUAUUGUGACAGCACCACUUCUGACACGGUAACUUGCUUUCAAUAUUUAGUUUACGUAAGGCAUACGAGAUGUGUUUUGAAGGUUUUGAAACCCAUGGUCUGUUGCUGCGAAAAUAUAUCAUUCGGAGUCCCGUAUUCAGAAAGUAAAAGGCCUCGAUUAAUCUUUUCGAAAGCUAGCCUGUCCAUUUAUUUUUUGAAAACGAUUUUUUUUGUUGGUCCCCUGAGCAAAUGUUCCUCAAUUUUUUGGGGCAAUGUGAGAUUUUGCAAAAUGUCCCUUGGAUAAUUCUUUCUCUAGCAAAAUGUCCCUUGAUCUUUUAGUUGGAAGUAACUAUUCUUUGCUAUGUUGGUUUAAUUAAAGUUUCUCUUGAUCUUUUGCUUUCGAAAUAAAUCUGCAGGUGUCCCCACAGGGAAAUUGUAGCAGUUGGAAAAGUAAGUGGAGGUCAAGUAAUUUUUUUAGAAACUGAAGGCGUGUUCUAUCGAUUAUUUUGAAAGAUAAGUGUGCCUUGGUGCAAAAGAAAAUGACUUUGGAUUUGCUGCAGCAAAGCAAAACUUUUUUGAUGCCCUGGGUUUUCGGAACUCUAAAAGUUGUGGUUUGGACUCUUGAUUCAAAGUAAGUGUUUUUGAGAAUACGUUGGUUUAAAGGAAAAGUAACUCUGAUAACAAACACCCUUUCUCUUGGAGAGUUGGCAGCCUUUCUCUACGUAACUGGCAGUGUGCUUUCUCAAUCAUUUUAUUGCUACGGGCGUAAGACAUGAUUGCUCGGUUAAAGGAGAUAUUCAUUUUAUUUGAGAAAGGCCUUCGUUCUUGAUUUGGAAGCCAAUUUGAUGAACUUCAGUAAAAGUGGGCGAAUUCUUUUUCUCGCAAAUGAGAGUGCUUUGGUUUAUUGUUUCAAAAUAAAUGUACUUUGACUCCUAGGCAACGGGUUUUUAAAUUUCCUUGGAAAAAGUAAAAUUCAUCCCGUUGCUCGGCCAGUUGGAGCUCAAAAAAAGCAUGCAUGUAUGCUGAAUUUGUCUUGGUUUUAAUCAUUGUUCUAAUGUAGGUCUUCAAAAAAUUGACCGAGAAAACUAUUUGAGAGAGCUAAACCAUCGAAGUCUAUCGGACCCAAAGUGUAGUAGUCUUACCAAACUUCAGAUCUUGUGGGAUCUUUUCUCUGUUUACUUUUUUUUUUUUUUUUUAAAGCAAUAUCUGUGGUUAAAAGAGAUUGGUAUGUUUAACAUGCAAGGCAACUACGGAGCCUGGCGUAACCGCGUCAAUAUUAUGUUGCUGACUUUUCUUUGCUGUAGGUACGUAGCGGGAAACUUGUUUAAGCGGAAAGAACGGAGUUUGUUCCAGUGGCUAUCUACACGAACAACGUGUGCUACGCGGAAUGUGAGUAUUAUGUUACCCUGGAUUGUCUUGAAAAUAUUUCUCUCGCUGCUACUUUGUUUAAGAAACAUUUGUAGUUAUACAAAAUUAACGUUUAGAACAUGCCAGACGGUUAAAAAGCUACAGAUAACAGGGUAUGCUAAUUUUGCCACCUUUUCCUUGGUGCAGCAAAUUGGAGCGAGGGUGAAGCCUUCCUAAGUGUAGAGCUACAGAUUGAAGGUUUUUGGACCCUACUUUAUUUAAUUUAAUAGUGGAACUUAUCUUUCUUGGAAAAUAGUAAAAGAGGCAAUCGGUCCUGCUUUGUUGUUGUUUACUAGAGACGUGUUAUUGAAAGGAACAAAUGAGGUUUCUUCCCGUUGCUGGUUAUGCAGGCGACGAGUGCGGCUGCGUGGCUUCUGAGUGUGAUUUUACUCCGUGUACAUCAUCAGGAAUGGAGUUUUUACUCUUACCGAGUUUUAUUUUAUAGGGUUGUCGUCCCGUAUUUGUAUCUGCAAUUUGUGUAGUGUUGGAACGGAAGUUUAUGGCUUGAACUUCCAUUUUGGUGGAUUUUCGUCUUGGGAAAUAAGUCAUUUAGCGUGGUCCAAUUCCAGUGGAGUUCAUGGCAACCACGUUGGCUCUUAAUAAGCGGACUGAUCCAGUGAAUAUCCUGCAAAUUUUGUGCAUGACUAGGGAUCUUUUGUUGAUAAAUAGAUCUCGGGGCGGUUGGGCGGCCGUUCAUCAAAACUAAUUUUACCAAACUAGUAGAAUUCUUGUCGUAGUUUAGAUUAUUGGAAUUUUUUUUCCGUUUUUGAUGUUUUAUUUUUGUCUGUUGUCCUUCAUUGCGUGUUAAGCAUUUGUCCUUUAUAUUACUCUACUCGAUUUUAGCUUUUUCAUUUGAUAAUUUUGUUCGCAUGAUCUGAUGCUGGAAUCAGGUUUCAGGUGUUCUGCAUGUCACGUCUGAUUUGUUAAUAUUUUUCAUCUCAUUAGGUAAUUAUCAUAUCGGCAUUGGUAGGUGAUAUUACUCUGCUCAAUUUUAAAUUUUAUUAUUUUGAUAAUUUCGUUCACAUGUGCUGAUGUUACAAUCACGUUUCAGGUUUUCCGCUUGCUAGCCAUUUUGUCAUAAUUUGGUCCCAUGACCUGUUAUAUAAAUUCUGAUUUAUCCUUUCAAAUGGUGCUUUUUCUCACAGCUAAAAUCCUCUCAAAGAUGAGUUCCCGUUUAAUAAUCCAUUGGUCAAGGUCGGUAAGAGAAAUUCAACCGUAGAGAUGUGUGGAGAAGUGUAUCGCAUAGCUCCAGUUACUCUUACUCAACAGCAGCAAGCUUUCCAUCAGAAAAGGAGAUCUAGAGCAUACCAGGGGAAGGGACCAACUGUGUUCCUUAAGGACGCGGAUUCCAUACCUCCUGAUGUAGACCCCAAUACAACCAGAUGGAUUCCAGCCAAUCAUUUUUUUGCAACCACUGCAGCUGACAUUGAUUAGACCUGGCACAAAACAAUAUGUAUCAGGAGCAUGGUGUUCCAUUUCGUAUUCAGGCUGAGCAUGAGGCAGUAGAGAGGAAGCUUGAAGCGGCUUGAAUGGCAUGCAUGGUAACAGAGAGUAACUUUUCACUAUAAAAUGCCCUAUAUAACCAUAUACAUUCUUCACUGAAGUUGCAUCCUACUGAAUAACUUACAGUAAAUCCUGUAGAAGGUCGGAAGCCUAACCCAUAAUGAACUAAUAGUGAAAGCACCAGCGGGCUAGUCAGUUUGGGCAUAAACCUAAAAUUGAGUUUCUCUACUUGCAUUAUCUCUUAUCAAAAUAUUAAUCCUGUAGUUUCAGGUGCUAAAGAUACUUGCAAUUAUGGAAGUAGAAAUCAUACUGGUAAACCUAUGAUGCGCCCUUGACUUUCGAUUCUAAGGCCUUGUUUUACCAGGACGGAUUUGAACCUUUCUUUGUUUUUUUUUUUUGACAAUUUUGGAGGUGGGUUCUGGAUGUUUGCUCAUAUGAAAAUAUGAAAUUGAUUUACCAGAUCAACACCAUAUAACAGAAUUUACGCUAUCCGAACUUUAUUCUGGGUUAUUCUAUUGCUUUUAAGUUAUUAAGGUCUGAAAUAUAUAUAUAUUAAAGUAAUUUCUUUAUGUGUGUCAGCUUUUUUAUUUAGGAGCGAAAGUUUAUUGGAGUUAUAUUUACUCAAAUUUUGUCCCAUUAAUAAUGAUAACUACUUAUGACACGUUACUCAGAAAAAAUUAUUUGUUGUUGUUUUUUGCAUGGAGAAAAAUUCAAUGACCCUUUCUUGUAUGACACCUUUAGCACUCAUUCCUAUUCAACAAUGCUCUAUGCAAAGGUAUUCUUGUAUGACACCUUUAGCACUCAUCGAUACCUGCGGUAAAGUACAAAGAAAAUAAAAGAAAAACGGCCCGCAAACUGUUUCAACCACUCAUUCUUGACAGCUGCAGCUUGUCUAGCGCCAACAACAAAGAACUCUGUAAUGACUUCGAGAGGCAUGCCUUUGGUUUCUGGGACUUUCAGGAACACAAAGAUCCAAGAGAUGAAGCACACAAUCGAAUAUAUGCUGAAGACGCUUGCUAAGCGUUUUGAAUUGAUCAUUACAGGCAGAGCGUAUGUCACAAUAAUGUUGCCGACCCAAAAAACCGUGGCACAGAUAGUAAUGCAAAUGCCACACCCUUGUAGGGAAGAUCACAGUGCAGAGGAUAUUUGGAAUUGGCCCAUAUGCCAUGACGAGGCCGCAGAUGUGUGAUACACAAGCUGAUGGCGUUGCUGCAUUUAUAACUGUGCUCAACUUCACUAGUGGGCCAAUAACUAGAAUGAUUAGUGACACUAUUAGUGCAGGAAUUGUCGCAAGUAGCAGCCGCCUGGCAAUGAAGGAUGUGUGAGUUAAAGAGAAAGUAAAAUAUUAUGAGCAAAUGCAUCUUGGGAGACACUGUAUAUGCUAUAUUUAUCUGUUGCUAUUGGGGAAACCAAGGCUCUUGGUCCACCUGAUGGCCACAAGCCUCUGAGAUUUUUUUAGUGAUUUGAUCAAUUAAGAGCUAUUUUGCUUUUGCAUGCAGAUUUUCAAGUACGGGAAUGCAGGAAACUCCAAGAACAAAAAUAGAUAAGCAUAAAAGAAAAAUAGGGGUUGGAGUUUGCUUCUUUUGCUAGUAAAUCAUGGUACCAAUAGAAAAGGCAGCUGUCAAUGCUAAAAUGUGUAAUCUUGCCACUAUUAUUCAUCACAAAUUCUAUUCGCAUGUCUAGAAAAUUUUUUUGGUCAGAUCGAUGCACAUUUCUAAUAAACAUGUCCUGGAUUUUGUUAUGUUUUCCUUUUUCUUAAGCUUUGUUGCAGCUGUCAUGGCAAUUAUUCGGGACCAUUAACUAGUAAUUCAGGUAACUUCAUUGCAACGGCGUGGCAAUUGAGGUGUUUGGUUCAUAUAUUAAAUUAUAUUUUUUGUUAUUAAAGCUGGUCUAAUAUGACUAAAACACAUCUUGAAAUUUUUUAUUUAAAAUUUAUGAGAAUUUAAAAAUUAUUUUAGAAAAUAUUAUAUAUUAAUUUUCAGUUUUAUUUGUUAAUAAAAAAAAUAACAGUAAUAUAAUUAUAUUAUAUAUAUUUGAUGGCUUUUUUUAAUCCUAUUUAUGACUUUUUCUUUUUUACUAUAAAGGGGAUUGUUUAAAAGAGUGAAGCUCGGAAAAUGCAGCCGACCCCUCAUCUCUUAUCCUUAUUAUAUAACAGAAGCUGAUGACUUCGUCGCCUAAUUCUAGGUACGUAAAUUUUGUCAAUCGAAGCGGAAGCCUGCUAUGCUGUUAAUGCUGCUAUCUAUUCUCUUUUGUAUGGUUGUUGUUUUGUUUUGAUUCCUGUCAUAUGUUUUUUAGAUCAAUACCACUGUAUGUGAUUUUUUUUUUUCUUUUUCUUUGUCGGAGUUCUCAUCAUUUUGUUUUUUUUUUUUGUAUUAUUGAGAUGAAAUUGUUAGUUUGAAUCCUGAUAGCUCAAGAGUGCUGUUUAGUUUUUUGCGCACCGGCAGGCUUGUCACUUCUUCUGUUGAAGUUGGCAUAAUGGCUGAUCUAAUGUGGUAGGCUAUGUGGUUUUACACAAGUUAACAUGCAGCACCUGUAGAAGGUAAUCUCUUCACUGGAAAUGUUGAGAACUUAGUUAAUCCAUUUGUUGAUUUGCAUGACUUUGUUCAAUGAGUUUAGUCAAAGAUGCAAAUGGAAGGUUCUUAAAUGAUUUUUUUUUAUUUAGUUGUUGUGGUACAUUAGGUAAUGACUGUAUAGAUUUAUGUUAGAUACAUUUCUUCGACUAUAGUGAAACAGAGAAAACGAACGACCAUUAUUAGUAACUGCUUGGAAUUCAGUUGCUGAUCUAAUUAAUGUUAGCUAUUUACUGAGAGGAUUUUUUUUGUUUUUGUAAUCAAAGAGAAACUUACUUCAUUUAUUGUGACCCAUUUCUUGCUGUCACAUUCAAUUAUAUUCUUUUAGCAUUUUUGAAAUUUUCGAAUUUGCGUUGGUUUUCUUCUUCUUUUUUCUUGUAUUUGUUAUAGGGGCGGAGGGGGACAGAAGAGGGUUUUAUCUCUGCUAUGCUGGUAAGAUUUUUCUUCAUUCUGUUAUUUUUUUUACUCGAGGCUUCUGAAAAUUAAAACCACAAAAAAAAAUUAAGAAAAGAAAAAAAAAAAAAAAACCGAACAAAGAAAAGGGCAAUUAAAUUGCCAGGAAACAAUUUUUCAGGUACCUGGGGUGUGGAAGGAGGGAGCCCAGGGGAAUAAAUUUGCUGGGAUAUACACACGUCAUGCAGAAAAUCAGCACUUUGUUUGGGUGCAGCAGUGAUGGACCUGGGUGCUCUACGCAAGCCCACCAGCACACUCACCAGUGAGCGCGUACAUAAUGCAUUGUGCCCCCGUGCAUUUGCCCCGUCGCUGUUUCAAGCCAUUAUGCCUCAGAUGACAUCAAAAAAGUAAUUUCAACCUCAUCUGAUAUUUUUGUUAUGUAGGACAAAUAAUGUUGAUUUGUUUAAUCAGGGAUUUAGAAAUAAAAUGAGACAUCGCACCUAGAGUUUUUUAAACAUCAUAUUUAAGACGUUUUAAGAAUCACACUUAAGUGUUCGAUUGUAUUAUUUUCUUUAAAUAUCUUUUUCUAACUAGAGAUAGAUUAGAAAAUAAUAAAUUAAUAAAAUUAAAAAUAUUAAUCUUAAUAAAAAUGAGAAAUUAACACUAAUAAUGUUAGAAAUCCUAAUAAGAAUAAAAAUCUCAAGUUACUAAAAUUAAAAUAAUAUUCUUAAAUAAUAAUUAAUUAUAAUUUUUAAUUUUUUAAAUUACGUUUUUUACUCUUCACGCUUGGUGAAUUUUAAAUUAAAGCAUAUGCCCUUUAUAAUUUUAUUCACAUGCGCUGAUGUUGGAAUCAGGUUUCAGGCGUUCUUCAUGUCAAGUCUGAUUUGUUAAUAUUAUGUAAUCAUUGUAUCCGCGUUGGUGGAAGUUAUAUUACUCUGCCCAGUUUUAGUUUUUAUCAUUUUGAUAAUUUUGUUCACAUGUGCUGAUGUUAAAGUUACGUUUCAGGAUUCCUGUGACCUGUCAUAUGAAUGAUAAAGGGCAUAUGCUUGAAGCAGCACAAAAUGUAAGCAGCUUGAAUGACAUGCAUGGUAACAGAGUAAUUUUUCACUAUAAAAUGUUCCAAAUAACCAUAUAUUCUUCAGUGAAGUUGCAUCCUUACUGAACAACUUACAAUAAAUCCCGCAGAAUGUUGGAAGCCUCACCCAUAACGAACUAAUAACGAAAGCACUAGCAGGCUAGUCAGUUCGGGCAUAAACCUAAAUUUGAGUUCCUCUCCUCGCAUUAUCUCUUAUCAAAAGAUUAAACAUGUAGUUUCAGGUUCCUAAGAUACUUGCAAUUAUGGAAGUAGAAACCAUGUUGGUAAACCUAUGAUGUGUCCUUAACUUUUGAUUCUAAGGACCUGUUUUACCAGGAAGGAACUAAACAUUUCUUCUUUUUUUAUGGGUUCUAGAUGUUUGCUAUUGAUUUACCAUAUCAACACUACAUAGCAUAAUUUAUGAUAUCUGAACUUUAUUCUGCAUUGAUCUAUUGCUUAUGAGGUAUUCGUGUCUGAAAUAUAUAUGUUAAAGCAAUUACAUGUCUAGAAAAUUUCUUUGGUCAGAUUGAUGCACAUUUCCACUAAACAUGUCCUGGAUUUUGUUCUGGUUUCCUUUUUCUCAAGCUUUGUUGCAGCUGCCAUGGCAAUUACGCAAGACCAUUCAACUAGUAAUUCAGGUAACCCCGUUGCAACAGUUGUGGUAAUUGAGGUGUUUGCCUCAUAUAUUAAAUUAUGUUUUCUGCUCUUCACACAUGCUGAGAUAUGAAUUUAAGCUGGUCUAAUAAGGCUAAGCGCAUCUUGAAACUAUUAAGCCUUAUCUUCACUGAAAUCUAGUGGAGACUUUUCAUCAAAACUAAUUUUACCAAACUAAUAGAAUUCUCGUCCUAGUUGACAUUAUUUUGGAUUUUUUUUCCCUUUUUUCUUUCCUGAUUUCUUAUUUUCAUCUGUUGUCCUUCGUUGCAUGUUAAUCAUAUGUUCUUUCCCUUCUGCACCUCCCCUAUUCAGCCUGAUCCAAUCAUCCUGUCACCAUAAAGAUUUAAGAUAAACCAAAUGUGAGCAAAAACAUCUUUACCUUUUCUUUUAUUUUUAAAAAUUUUUCUUCCUAAAAAGUUACAAGGAUUAUUGAACUAAACAGAUUAUUGGUCAAACUUUUACAUAUUUCUUCUUAGUUGGUAGGUUUUUCUUUUUUUUUUUUGAAAAAAAAAUAUUACAUAUAGUUUUUUUACUGAUUGAUGAUCAAUCAAUAUUGCCUCUUUAAUGGUUGAAAUUUGCAGUGGGUUACAUAUUUAUCUUUUUGUUCAUGUUCUUUCCUAAUUCGUUAAUUUCUUUGAAAAUAUAUAAUGACUGCAUAUUUUUAGGAUGUAUUACUCUAUAUUUAUGUGAUUUAUUAAUUCGUAUUUUUAUAAUUUUUUACUAUUUAUUUUUAGGAGUGUUUGUUGAUUGUAUAGUAAUUCGAAAGUAUGUAUUUUAUUACAAAAGAAAAAUAAUAUUAACAGAAAAUAAAUAAGAAUUAAUUAAAAAUGUUAUGCAAAUUUAAAUUUUAAAUCAAUGUAAAAAUAUUUGUUUUAUAGGUUUAUUAUUUUAUUUUAUGUAUAUAAGAUAACAAUAUUAGCUAAAAUAAUAUAUUUUAUUAUAAAAAUAGAAUAAUAUUGUCAGAGAACAAGUAUUAUUAAAUAGGAAAAUAUUAGUUAAUUUAUCGUAUAUAGAAUUAUAAAUAUAUUUUAAUUUAUAUAAUAAAAUUUUUAAGAUAAAUAUUGAUAUUUAAUAAGUAUUGUAAUAUUUAAAACAUUUUUAAAAAAUUUGUAGGUAAAUUAAAAUUAAAUUUUAUUUUCAAAUUUAAAAUGUUUAAAUAGGAAAUUUUUAUAAAAAUUAAAAUAUGGUAUUUAUUUUUAAUAAAAUAUUAAUACAUUAAUAUUAUUUUUAUAUUUAAAAUUUUUAAGAAUUUAAAAAUUAUUUUAUAUGUAUUAAUUUUAAGGUUAGUUAAUAAAAUAAAAUAAUAAGAAUAAUAUAAAUAGUUUAUAUCAUAUAUAUUGUACGAGACAGUUUUUAUUUUUUUUUUACGCUGUUUACAGUUUUUUUUUUAACGCUAAAAAAGACUUUAAAAGAGCUGGUUUACAAAAUCCGACCGAGCUCAUCCUCAAACCCGUUUCUGCAUAUGAUAUUCAGAGGCGGUGGACUAAUGAACCCUAAAACUUCAAAUUGAGAAAGUUGUUCAAUCCCAGGUACAUGAAUUUUGUCAACUGAAGCGGAUGACCGCUAUUCUUUUAACGCUGCUGCUAUAUAUUUUCCUUCGUGUUAUUGCUGUUUUGUUUUGAUUUCUGUCAUAUAUUUUCUUGAUCAAGACCCCACAGUAUUUGAGUAUUUUUUUUUCUUUCCCCUUAUUGGAGUUUUUAUUAUUUUGUUUUUUUGUUUUUUUUUGUAUUACAGAUAUGAAAUUGUUAGUUUAAAUUAUGAUGUUAUAUGAUAUAUUUUAUUAUAAAAAUAUUAUUAUUAUUGAGUGAAAAUAAAUUAAAAUGAAAUAAUUAUUAAAAAUAAAUGCUAUAAAAAUUUUAAAAUUGAAUAUUAAUAAAUAAGAAAAUAUUAGUUUUUAUUAGUUAAUUAUCUUAUUUUAUGUGUAUAAAUAAUUAUUUUUUUUUAACCUUUGAUGGUUAUCAUAUUUUCGUAUUCGUGAUUAACUUUAUCAAAUCUCUUUGCUCUUCUCCCAUUCUUUCUCUUUCUCGACCUUCUUUACUGAUACAUGUUGAGGGUACUUUUGCUGAAAAUUUCAAGUUUUCUAACUUCUCUCCUCCUCCUCUUCCUCUUUUCUCUCCUCUAAGAUUUAUUUUUUCAUCUCCUCUUUUGUUAAUCUUUUCUUAUUAGUUAUUUUAACAGGCAAUUUCCAAUGGAAGUCAAGACUGGGAAGAACAAAAUAUUUUGACGGUAUCUGUUUAUGCCUUAUUCUUCAUCACCAAGUUGUUUUGAAUUUUUAAUGCAACCUUAUUAACUAAUAUUGUAGGUUUUUUUUUUGCAAAUUUAUUAUUGAAAGUAGUUGCUACAAAUGUUUUAAUAGUUGGCAUUGAACCAAUAUUAAUAAAAGAAUCAAGAUACUAACCCUUAGAAUCAGUCAAGAAGCUUCUCAACGAGAACUAUACCUGCUUUGAGCUUAUCUUACUAGUAACUUUUUUAAACUCAAAUGUACGUGAGUACUCGUGCAUAACCAUCUUAACCAAGUCGAUCUUAUAUUCUUUUUGUAUUGUAUGUAUAAAUUUGAAGUUUUCAAUGUUACAAAACAGUAUUCUUCGCAAAUUCUAUACGCUAAAGAUGAUUGUGAAAUGGUAAAAUUAGUUUAUAGGUUAGUGGAUGAUGAAUUCUGUCAAACGGAUUGCUUGAAGGAGUCUCAUACUUUUCUCAUUUUAUUUGUGAUGUGUUAUUAUGUAAUUCUUUUAUUUUAGUUACAGAUAAAUAUUUUCUCAAGAGGUUUACCGUUUUAUGAUGUUGUUUUUGCAAGAGUUUUCUGCAAAAGUUCAAGAAGAAAUUAUGAUGAAAUGUAUUUUUUUUUAAUUGUUUUAGCUUAAAGUUGAUGUUUAAUAUCUACUUAAUACUGUUAAAAAAUUGUAUUUUUGCAUAUAUACUCUUUUCUUAAUAGACGUAGGUGAUGAAUUUGAUAUCUCAAUGGUGACAAAAACCAAGAUGAUCAAAGGGGUUUGAUUAAGAUCUAAUUGAAGGUAUGUGUGUCUUUUAUAUGAAAUUGUUUUUUUCUUUUCAUCUUUCUCUCAAGUUUUUUUCGGUCCUAAUAGGUGCUAUUAGGCUGUAAAUAAUCUCUAUAAAUGUGAAUAUUAUAAAUAGAUAAAUAAUAUUUUUUAAAAUAUUUUGAUAACAACUUUUGAUAUAAUUAGAUAAUAACUAUUUUUUCUCAAGUUAUGAUUAAAAAAUUUAUAUUAAUGUUAAGAUUUCUCAUACAUAAGUUUUUCUUAUAAAACUUUAAAUUCUCUAUGAAUUUUUACUUUAGUUUUGAUAAUAUUUAUUUUUGCACAACUCUAAAUAAAUUACAAGAAUAAAAAUUAUCAAGAAAGAAAAGUUUAUUAAUAAUAGCAAUAGAUAUAGGCGUUAGUAUAUUCAUGAAAAUAGUUUAUAUGUUUCUUGGAUCUAGUCUGAUUUGUUAAAAUUUUUCAUCCUCCUUAUAUAAUCUAUCAUGUCCGCAUUGGUAUAAAUUAUAUUACUCUACCCGAUUUUAGAUUUUUCAUUUGAUAAUUUUGUUCACAUGCGCUGAUGUUGGAAUCAGGUUUCAGGUGUUCUGCAUGCCAAGUCUGAUUUGUUAAUAUUUUCUAUCUCAUUAUUUAAUCAUCAUAUCCGCGUUGGUAGAAGUUAUGUUACUCUGCCCAAUUUUAGUUUGUAUCAUUUUGAUAAUUUUAACUCGGUUUGGCCCAGAUCAUUUUGGUUGUUCAUUCUUCGAUGUUGCUUUAGAUGUACAAACUCUAGUUUUCUGUUUAUUUUACAAGAAACUCAUGGAAAAACAAUUGCCCAUAUUGUGCUAUGUUAUAUUCUUCUCAUGAUGGUGGCAGCCUGCAGAUGUUCUGCAGUGGUCUUUCUGAAGAACAGGGCAUUUAAUUUAUUAAAGUAUCAUUAGUUAUGUCAUAAGGUAGAAAUUGUACUUCUCGCUUGUUUGAUCUGAAAAGGAUGUGAAUCAUACCAUUUUAUGUUUUAGGAAAUGUGCAGAAAUUGAAAAGUUGUAACUUGUGACCACUUGGUUUUCUACUUUGUUUCUCUGCUGUUAUAAAGUUGCAAAUGGUCUUGAAGCACACUUGAGAUACUCAUAGCUACAUCUUCUUAAAGCCCAUAUUUGGUUGUCUAGAUGUUUUUCCCCCAGGUAGUAUUGAAAAGAUGAUGGGCACAAUUCUCUAGCUCUGAUGCUAUUUAUUCAGUUUAGUAUGUGUAUUGUGUUGAUUUGGUUUGCCAAUUUUUUCUCUUUCCUGGACGGCACUGUCAUUAGGUAACUUAUUAUAUUUUUUCUUUGUUCCCUUGACCUUAAUCUACAUGCUUGAUUAAUGGCUGCACCAUUUUGUUCAAGUUAUUGUGAAAAAUAUUAAAAUUAUGCCUUGUUAAUUUAAUUGCAUGUUUCCCAGGAUAUUCCUUCCUUAGCUGCUGAUGCUGCAAAAAAGUAUCCCGGUGUAUCAUACAUCAUAACGGCUCCUCUUGGCUUGCACAAGCUCCUUGUGGUAUGAGAUUUUUCUUAUUUUUCUCUCAUGGUAUUUACAUUAAUCCUGCAAGACUUUUGGAGUCAUCACUGUACUUUCAACUUGUGCUUAGCUUUAUUUUUAGCUCUCCUUACCUGAUUGAUAUGUAGAUUAUUCACGAGUACAUGGGAUAUGACAAUACUAUUCAGUUAAUGCUAUUAAAUCAAAUUUUACCCCAUAUAUAUAUAUAUUAUAUAUAUAGGCACUAAAAUUCAUGCCCAGUUAACAGCAUUCUUAACAAAUGUACAAAAGUUUCCGAUUGACUGCAUUCUUAAUUUAAUUAAAACUAAAAUGAAAACUUUCAUCCUUAUUAUUAUUUAUUUUUACCAGCUUCCAAAAAUAUAUCACUCUUUUGCAGUGUUGUUCGCUGGUUUGAUCAAAUAGUUGUGAUCAAAAUUUUUAGUCUAGUUAUAACUACUUUUAAUUGAGAAUGCAAUCAGUUAGGAACUUAUAAACUUUCUUAUUAGGAGUGCAUAUUCCAAUUUCAAGAACACCAUCAAGUAGUAUUUCUAGGUAAUCAGACCUGUGAUUUUAUGAGAUAGACCUUGUCCUACUCGCACGUUGGACUAUGGCUUAUUUUAUCUUUUAAGAGCUCGAGAGAUCAGAAUGUGUCUGAUACCCAUAUGGCUCAUUAAGCAACAGAAGUUUCUGAUUCUCAAGGGAUAGAAUUUGUGAUGCCCUCUAUUUCCCAUUAGUAGUGUGCUAGGAUAGGCUAAAACGAGAUCAAGAAACAGAAGCAGCCAAUAUUUUUUGAGUAACACGGCAUUGAGCGACGCUACUCUGGCCAUGCUAAUUAGUUUUAUGUUUUGCAUUGAUCAUGUCCAUUUGUAAAUAAUUUCUCCAUUUUCUCACUCUCUACAGUUUUAGGUUGCAAGGUUAGUAAUGUGAUAAUUAGUUUCCUCAUUCUUUAUGGGUUUUGAACUGGUUUUUGAAAGUUUGCGUUUAACAGUUCUGUGUAAUUAGAGCAAUUAUUUGUUUUAAUUAUGUUUAAUGGGAUGAUCAAUAUUGUUGCAAGCAGAUCAGAUUCUCUUAUUGUAUUAUCGUUUCGAUAUUAGUUAAUUUGCUGAGUGACAUUCAUGGGACUUCUGUCGAUAAAACUUGAUCAUUUUUCUCAUCCUGGAAGUAUUAUAAUUUUCGUUCAAUUAGCAUAUAGUUUGCUUGCUGGAGAGGUAUGCAAUAUUUAUCUUUUGUGAGAAAGGUUGUCGUUCUUUAUUUUGAAGCCACAUCAGGAAAGUAGAUUUGAUUUUGUUCGUCGGUAAAAUUGCCUUAAUUUAUUUUCUUGCAAGUGAGAGGAAAUUGAUUUGAAAAAUGAUGCAGAGGAGGAGUUCGUGGUUUGUGGGAAGGCCUGUUGUUGGAGACUGGAACUGUCCUUUUUGCUGAGGUUCUUGGCAGAACCCUAACCGGUGAAACUGUACAGAUGCAUGGUGGAGCAGACAACUUGUCUGUGUGGAUUUGCCAGAGAAGGAAUAGAAAUUGAAAGGAAAUUUGGUGGUGCAAAAAAUCUGUAAGUAUUAUUUCUAAGGAUUAAGAGAAUAAAUAAUUUAAAAUUAGAUAACAGUUUAAAGAAUUUUAAUAGAAUAUAUUUGUACAUAUAAAUUUUUUUUAAUAAUACGCGUAUUAUUUAAUAAAUUUUUUAGAAAAAAGAAUUAUUAAAAAUUGUAUUGUAAUUAAGGGUGUUUGUUUUGUUGUGGUUUUUUAUUAUAAUAUUUGUAUUUAAAAAAAAUAUUUUUGUAGUUGGGUGAGUAAAAUAUAAAAUGUUUUUGAUAAUAGUUAAAUUGAAAAUUUAUUUUUUUAUAAAUUUAAAAUAAAAAAUUACAAAAGUUACAUGAAUUUUUAUUAAGAAUAAAUGUUAUUAUUAUUGUAUAAAUAAUAACAUAUUUUCACAAUUAUUUAUAAAAUUAUUUUUAAUGGAAAACUCAGUAAGGCAGUAAAAAAAAUAUUUAUCUUUUUAAUUUUCUCUCUCUGCCGCUCCUCAUCUUCGGUCUCUGGGUUUCCUUUUUUCUGCCCCUGAGGUUCCGCGUGUUUAUAAAGCACAGAGGUUGCGUCACGGAGACGCACCUCAGCUCCUCUAUAAAAGGGCUGAGACUCUCUUUCCUCCUUACGCAUCUGCUGUCUCCUGAUCCGGUAAGGUUUUCUUCUGAUUGCCCAUUAGAUCUGGUCCCGCUCCGAUCUUCUAGAGAUUGGAGGCGGUCUUCAUUCUCUCUGAACGGAAGAGUGCAUAAAAUAGGGCUCUUCUGCUUCCGAGUCUUCUCUCUUGUGGCGAUUUAGAGGUUGCGUCACGGAGACGCAGCUCAGCUCCUCUAUAAAAGCGCUGAGACUCUCUUCCCUCCUUCCGCCUCUGCCGUCUCCUGAUCCGGUAAGGUUUUGUUUUCGAUUGCCCAUUAGAUCUGGUCCCGCUCCGAUCUUCUAGAGAUUGGAGGCGGUCUUCAUUCUCUCUGAACAGAAGAGUGCAGAAAAUAGGGCUCUUCUACUUCUGAGUCUUCUCUUUCGCGGCGAUUUAGAGGUUGCGUCGCGGAGAGGCAGCUCAGCUCCUCUAUAAAAGCGCUGAGACUCUCUUUCCUCCUUCCGCCUCUUCUGUCUCCUGAUCCGGUAAGGUUUUCUUUCGAUUGCCCAUUAGAUCUGGUCCCGCUCCGAUCUUCUAGAGAUUGGAGGCGGUCUUCGUUCUCUCUGAAGGGAAGAGUGCAGAAAAUGGGGCUCUUCUACUUCCGAGUCUUCUCUCUUGCGGCGAUUUAGAGGUUGCGUCACGGAGACGCAGCUCAGCUCCUCUAUAAAAGCGCUGAGACUCUCUUUCCUCCUUCCGCCUCUGCCGUAUCCUGAUCCGGUAAGGUUUUCUUUUUGAUUGCCCAUCGGAUCUGGUCCCGCUCCGAUCUUCUAGAGAUUGAGGCGGUCUUCAUUCUCUCUGAACGGAAGAGUGCAGAAAAAGGGGCUCUUCUACUUCUGAGUCUUCUCUCUUGUGGCGAUUUAAAGGUUGCGUCACGGAGACGCACCUCAGCUCCUCUAUAAAAGCGCUGAGACUCUCUUUCCUCCUUCCGCCUCUGCCGUCUCCUGAUCCGGCCGAAAAUGCUAAAUUACCCUCAUCCUGCUGUAUAAUUGUCUCAGGAUUGCUCUGUUGGGCUCUUAUAAAGCAAUGGAUCCAAAUGUUGCACGAGCUGUUGAGUAAUUUCCAACUGGUUUUGGUGAUUUGCUUUUAUUAGUUGAGAUAAAAAAAUAAAACGAAUUAUUAAUUAUUAAUUUGGUUUCGGCAUUUAUAAAAAAAAAAAGUUUGUAUUUGAAAAAUAUUUUUGUAGUUAGACGAGCAAAGAAGAAAAAUGUUUUUGAUAAUAGUUAAAUUCAAAAUUUAAAAUAAAAAAUCACACUCAAUACAUCUUGGUGCUGGAUUCAAAUAUUUUCUUUCGAAAAAAGAAACUUACGUACGUGUAUUAAUAUCGGUGCCUGUGCGCAUUUACAAAAUUUUUACGAGUCUGCUAGAUUCAAAUAAUGUAUCGUUCUUGUUUCUCUCACGCUUUUUGGUUGUAUUUGAGCAAUAAUUUGUCAGAGGCAGCAAGCCAGAUCUGGAAAUAUGGCAAGUUUUUAGAAAUUGGUGCUGCGCGUUUAAUCAUCUUUAACCAACAAGAUCUUAUGCUGGUUUUCAGGUAAUUCUCUUUUGUUUCGCUCCCUUUCAAUCUUCUUUAAGAUCUCAGAAUGGAAGUCCCCAGCUUCCUAUCUCUUAGUCUCCUCUUAAACCUGAAGGUCAUUAUUUUUGGCCCGUCCAACAGUUAUGUUGCAGUCAAGAGAAAGGUUUCCAGGAUAUGCUUGAGAUGCUUGCCUCGUACAAGGAGGGGGUGUGUACCAUGUGGGAACCGUGUUCCCAUAAUCUUGAUUCUGUCCGGUUCCAUCCAAAGUGCAUAAAGAAACCUAGUUCCCACGCUGGAAACUGAUAACAGUGCUCGGUAUUUUAUGUUUAUUACCAGUUAUUGUUAAUUUAUUGCGCGACUUUCAUGGGAGUUGUAUCAAUAUGUCUUGAUCCCUUUUCUUGUUCUUUGAUUUACCGGGACCAUAUUCUGAAAAUAUUGUAAUCGUCGCUCGGUAAGGGUAUGGAUUGCUGGUUCAAGAGGUUUGCAAUAUCUAUUUACACUCGUAUCACUUGGUGCUGGAUUCAUAUGUUUUUCUUCUGUAUUAAAAAGUUACGUAUGUGUAUUAAUAUUGGUACCGAGGGGGCACUGCGCACUUACAAAAUUUUUACAAGUCCGCUGGAUUAAAAUAAUGUGACGUGCUUUGUUCCUCUCGGCGCUUUUUGCUUGUAUUUGAGCAAUCAUUUGUUAGAGGCAGCCAGGCCAGAUCUGAAAAUAUGGCAAGUUUUUAGAAAUUGAUGCUGCGCCUUUUAGUUGCCAACACGUUCUUAUGUUGGUUUUCAGGUAAUUCUCUUUUGUUUCACUCCCUUUUAUUCGUCUUUAAGAUCUCGGAAUGGAAGUCCUCAGCUUCCUUGUCCCCCGCAUCUUUGAGUCUCAUCUUAAAGCUGAAGGUCAUUAUUUUUGGCCUGUCCAGCAGUUUUGUUGUGGUUGAGAGAAAGGUUUAAAGGAUGCAUGAGAUGCUUGCCUCGUACAAGGGUGUCUAUUAUGUGGGAACCGUGUUCCCAAAAUCUUGAUUCCGUCUGGUCCAUAGUCCCUGCAAAGUCAUUCCAUCCAAAGUGCAUAAAGAAACAUAGUUCCCACGUUGGAAACUAAUAGUGUUGUUCCUUUCGACUUUUGUUACCAGUUUAUUUUUUGUUUGAUGUUCGCGGGAGUUGUAUCAGUAUGUCUUGAUCCCUUUUCUUGUUUUUUGAUUUACAGGGACCAUAUUCUGACAAUAUUAUAACGCUCGCUCGGUAAGGGUGUGGAUUGCUGGUUCGAGAGGUACGCGACAUCUCUAUUUACACUCGUAUCACUUGGUGCUGGAUUCAAAUAUUUCUCUUUGGAAGUAAAAGUUACGUAUUUUUUUAAUGUUGGUACCAAAGGGGUACUGCUGCGCAUUACAAAAAUUUCUACAAGUCUGCUAGAUUCAAAUAAUAUUUCUCUCACGCUUUUUGGUUGUAUUUGAGCAAUAAUUUGUCAGAGGCGGCAGGCCAGAUCGGGAAAUAUGGCAACUUUUUAGAAAUUGAUGCUGCGCGUUUACUUUACCAACAAGUUCUUAUGUUGGUUUUCAGGUAAUUCUCUUCCGCCCCGCUCCCUUUUAAUCAUCUUUAAUAUCUCAGCAUGGAAGUCCUCAGCUUCCUUGCCCCCCGGGCCCCACUUCUUUUAGUCUGCUCUUAAAGCUGGAGGUCAUUUUUUUUUGACGUUUGUUGUAGUCAAGAGAAAGGUUUCUAGGAUGCAUGAGAUGCUUGCCUCGUACUAGGGUGUCUUUUAUGUGGGAACCAUGUUCCCGUAAUCUUGGUUCUGUCUAUGGUUCGUAGUCCCAUAUGAACGAGGAUGCUGUGUUCUCGGGAUUUUUAUCUGAUGCGAGAAAGGUCGUCAUUCUUUAUUUCGAAGCCACAUUAGAUUGAUUUUGUGUCCCGGUAAAAGUGCCCUACUUUAUUUUAUUGAAAGUGAGAGUAAAUUGAUUUAUUGUUUCAAAAUAAAUUUGCGUCCGUGUUUAAUGGAAAAUUUUACGAUUUCUUCGGAGAAAGUAGAAUUCCCCAUGUCCUUCGGGUAGUUGGAACUUAAAAAGAAUGUGCUUGGAUCUUCUAACAGCAAGUAAAUAUUUUUGGGCAUUGUUUUAAGGUUCUUGCUUCCUUUGGUAGAAAAUAAUUUUUUAUGGUGUUCCGGUCCUGAAUUAUUGCUCAGAAACUGAAAGCAUGUUUUGUAAAUCUUUUAAAAAAUAAAUGAGCUUGAUGAACAAGAAAAUUUCCCAUUCUUGAGAAAACAAAAAAUGUUCCCUGGUCCCCCGGGUAGCACCAACUGUGAGAAAAUGUGUCUUGAGCAUUUUGAUUCCUAGUAAAUAUGUUUAUGUGUGUCGCUUCGGCAGUGAAAGCUAUCGUGAUGGGCACCCUUUCUCUCUUAGACGUUGCAAUUGGAUUUUCUAGUAUUUGAUAACCAUUUACAAAAGAUAUGUAUGCUCGGUUUUUGGAACUUUCAGAUGUAGUUUAUUGGAGAAAUGUUGUUGGUAUGUGUUUUGAAGCUUCAUUCAUGAAAUAUAGUUGGUGAAGGAUCAUUGUGGGCCGGGUCUCUUGAGUAGAAAACAUUAUUUCUGCAGCCCUUGCAUGCACGAUGAAUGUUUUAUCUGAGAUUCUCGGUCCAAAAUGUAAGAGCUUCAAUUCCAUAUUAACUACAUUUCAGUCCCAAAAUACUAGGGAAGCCAAUAUUUCAUUUUGAAAGUUAAAGGGUGUUGAUGUGUGUUUUGAAGCUUCAUACAUGAAAUAUAGCCGGUGAAGGAUCACUGUUGGCCGGGUCUCUUGAGUAGAAAACAGUAUUUGUGCAGCCCCUGCAUUCACAAUGAAUGUUUUAUUUGAGAUUCUCGGUCCAAAAUGUAAGAGCUUCAAUUCCAUAGUAACUACCUUUUCAGUCCCAAAAUACCAGGAAAGCCAAUAUUUCAUUUUGAAAGUUAAAGGUUGCUGAUGUGUGUUUUGAAGCUUCAUUUAUGAAAUAUAGUUGGUGAAGGAUCAUUAUUGGCCGGGUCUCUUGAGUAGAAAACAUUAUUUCUGCAGCCCGUGCAUUCGAAAUGAAUGCUCUAUUUGAGAUUCUCGGUCCAAAAUGUAAGAGCUUCAAUUCCAUAUUAACUUACUUUCAGGCCACAAAAAUCUAGGACAGGCAAUAUUUCAUUUUGAACGUUAAAGGUUGUUGCUGUGUGUUUUGAAGCUUCAUUUAUGAAAUAUAGUUGGUGAAGGAUCAAAAUUGGCCGGGUCUCUUUGAGUAGAAAACAUUAUUUGUGCAGCCCUUGCAUUCACAAUGAAUGUUUUAUUUGAGAUUCUGGGUCCAAAAUGUAAGAGGUUCAAUUCCAUAUUAACUACCCUUUAGUCCUAGGAAAGGCAAUAUUUCAUUUUGAAAGUGGAAGUUUUUGUCGAUAUUUCAAAACAAACUUAUGUGCCUCGGUGCAUGAGAACGUGAAUCUUGAUUUUUUGUGGCAAAAUGAAACUGCUUGCAACCCUCAAGAUGUACAGCCUCAAAAAGAUGUGGCUUAAAAUCUCAAGCCAAAGUUUGGGUGCGUCGGUUUGAAAGUGAGAGUUUCUUUGAUCACGCACUUUCUUUUGGAGAGUUAGGCGACGUUUCACUUAGUGGUGGCAAUAUGCUCUCCCAAUCUAUUUUUAGCGCGGACAGAAAAAGUUUCGUGCUAGGUUAUGGGAAUCGUCAUUAUACGUGGAAGAGGUUGCCGUUCUUUAUUUUGAAGCCACAUCGAUAAUCUAGUUGCAGCGUUUUUCCUCUGUAGAGGUGCCCCGAUUCGAUAUUUUGAAACCGACACUGUAUUUACUGAUUCUUUUAAAAUAAGUGUGCCCCUCGGUAUUCAAGCAGAAGUUUCUCUGUUUUUUGGGGAAGAGUAAAAUUGCUCUGUUCUCUUGGUUGGUUGGAACAUAGAAAGCAAUAUGUUUGGAUCUUUUGAUUGCAAGUAAAUAUUUUUUCGGCACGUGGUUUUAAAGCUUUUUGGCUUUUGUUAAAGAAUAGUUUUUUUAAAAAAAUAUAUAUACAAAAGAAUAGUUUCCUGUUUUGGAAGUUUCCUGGUUUGGGAAGUAAAUGAGACUCAAUUUAUACUUUAAAACCUAAAAGCUGUUUUUAUGCAUUAUUUAUGGAUAAAUGUGUGACUUGAUGCACAAGAAAAUGAAUUUUGAUUUCUUGGGGCAAUGUAAAUCUGCUUGGGUCUCUCUCGCAGUUCCAAGUUUUAGAAAAACUUGCAUUGACAAAGAUUUGAGGAUAUUGUGACAGCACCACUUCUG
rnacentral:lncRNA from 1 species